rnacentral:misc_RNA from 1 species
GGAAACUCCUUGGCCUUCUGUUGAUGCCGUUGCGCCUUACGUUGAUAAUGACCAUGUCUUCUGCUUGCUUUACCGUGAGAUGUGGUUCCGUCACUUGUAUGCUAGACUUUCUCCUACUCUUAGACAGCGGAUUGAUUCGUGGGACAAUUAUUGCAGCCUUUUCCAGGUGGUGCUGCAUGGUGUGGUUAACAUGCAAUUGCCAAACCAGUGGUUGUGGGACAUGGUAGAUGAGUUUGUAUACCAAUUCCAGGCAUUCUGUCAAUACCGUGCAAAGAUGAAGAGCAAAACUGCAGAAGAGAUCGCGUUGCUUAGGCAGUACGACCAGGCUUGGAAUGUCUACGGUGUUCUCAAUUUCUUACAAGCCCUUGUGGAGAAAUCUACAAUAAUCCAAAUCUUGGAGAGGGAAAAGGAAGGUCUUGAAGAGUUUACUGCUACUGAUGGGUAUGAUUACAGUGGUGGAAGUAAUGUCUUGAAGGUUUUGGGCUAUUUCAGCAUGAUAGGCUUGCUCAGAGUUCAUUGUCUGUUGGGUGAUUAUCAUACUGGCCUGAAGUGUUUACGUCCAAUUGACAUAACUCAACAGGGAGUUUACACCAGUGUUAUUGGGAGCCACAUAACCACAAUAUAUCACUAUGGUUUUGCUAAUCUUAUGUUGAGGAGGUAUGUAGAGGCUAUCCAUGAGUUUAACAAAAUCCUUCUGUAUAUUUAUAAGACAAAGCAGUAUCACCAGAAGUCACCCCAGUAUGAGCAGAUACUGAAGAAAAAUGAGCAGAUGUAUGCCCUGUUGGCUAUUGCUUUGUCAUUGUGCCCUCAAGUGAAACUUGUUGAAGAAACUGUGAAUUCUCAAUUAAGGGAGAAGUAUGGUGAGAAGAUGGCGAGGAUGCUGAGAUAUGAUGAGGAGGCAUCUGCACUCUAUGACGAGCUCUUCUCAUAUGCAUGUCCUAAGUUCAUUACUCCUUCUGCUCCAAGUUUUGAGGAGCCUCUCGUAAAUUACAACCAGGAUGCCUAUAGGCUACAAUUGAAGAUGUUUCUAUAUGAAGUGAAGCAGCAACAAUUAUUGGCUGGUGUUAGGUCCUAUUUGAAAGUGUAUUCAACAAUCUCCCUGGGGAAGCUUGCAAAUUACAUGGAUUUGGAUGAACCCAAUUUAAGAGCGGUUUUGAUGACAUACAAGCACAAAACACAUGCUGUCGAUUCUGAUGGCAAGAUAAUUUCCAAUGCCGAUGUGGACUUCUACAUAGAUGAAGAUAUGGUACGUGUUGUAGAAUCUAAGUCCGCGAAGAAGUAUGGUGAUUACUUUUUGCGUCAGAUUGUGAAGCUUGAAGGGAUCAUGACUGAUAUUGACAGGAUAAAGCUGGAGUAAGCCACCUUCCUAUGUUAUAGUAUCAGUAGCGUUUAACUUGCUUUGAGCUUCAUUUUUGUACUGAGGAAAAUGCAGAAAGUUGAAUGAGAGUAUGUUUCGGUUUUGAGAACACCAAGCUUUGUUGAUUAGUGACUAGAAACAAUUUUUUCUCUCGCUUUGUAAUCUAUUAAUACAAUACAAAGUUG